ACUAUAUUUAAAUGCUCGAUAAUAAGCGGCUAAGCUAUAUGCGGCGCGGUUAACAUUAACUCGCACGGAAUGCGAAUUCAGCUCCUCAUUACGCGCCGCGAUAUAUGUCUAAUUAUAUUCAUCAACAACUACGUGUGAUUUAGCGUCUAUGGAUGAGUCGGAUGUGGACUGGGUUCAAUUAAUGAUCCAGACCACGCCUCAUCACUGCGUCAAUUAACGAUUAUUACACGCAACGCCGUUUUUCCGAUGACCAAUCAAUGAUAUCAGCAUCUUCUUAGAAAAGCUGACAAAUGUGCUGUAAUUGAACCACAUCGAUCAGGCCGACGAUAAUAAUAACCGGCAGUUUACCUUCCAAUGUCGUCAGACAGCGAUUCGAGCCUGCGAUCUUCAGCAUGGCCACGAGGACCAGCAGGCCUACUAAGGAUCCGGGUCUCAGCAUUGUGACCUUCUCAUUCUGCAACAGACAAGACAAUCGGUAUACUAUUUAGACUGCUCGUUAGAAAUGGGCAGAAUUGGCGAUGAUAGCAUUCAAACUAAAUGUUAGACGAAGAAGAAAAAAAAUGGAAAAUAGGUAAUGCAUUAAUCAAGAUUCUCGAAUCCUGCUCUCUCAUCAAAACAUGUUUUUUUUUUAAUAUAUAUACGUCUAUAAUCUCGUGAUAUAUGUUAUUUUAAAACAAGAUAAGUUCAUGAUUAUCGUUGAGGAAUUUUGUCUUAAGAAACAAGCAAAGUACGUUAACAGAUAGUUUAUCGCAGCAGCUAAGUGUAUGUGUAUAUAUGUGUGUAUACACAACUUUAUAAAAUAUUUUCAAUCGAUUAUGUAUAUUCCUUCACCAUCAACAAUUUUCUUGUCACUUUACUUGAAACGUGUUUAUAUCAGAAAUCCAUGACAAAUAUUGUUGCAAAGGCAGCAAAUAUGCGUGACCAGAUAAAUAAAAUUUUUCAGAUUAUCGCGGA